rnacentral:rRNA from 1 species
GAUGAACGCUGGCGGCGUGCCUAAUACAUGCAAGUCGAGCGAACGGACGAGAAGCUUGCUUCUCUGAUGUUAGCGGCGGACGGGUGAGUAACACGUGGAUAACCUACCUAUAAGACUGGGAUAACUUCGGGAAACCGGAGCUAAUACCGGAUAAUAUUUUGAACCGCAUGGUUCAAAAGUGAAAGACGGUCUUGCUGUCACUUAUAGAUGGAUCCGCGCUGCAUUAGCUAGUUGGUAAGGUAACGGCUUACCAAGGCAACGAUGCAUAGCCGACCUGAGAGGGUGAUCGGCCACACUGGAACUGAGACACGGUCCAGACUCCUACGGGAGGCAGCAGUAGGGAAUCUUCCGCAAUGGGCGAAAGCCUGACGGAGCAACGCCGCGUGAGUGAUGAAGGUCUUCGGAUCGUAAAACUCUGUUAUUAGGGAAGAACAUAUGUGUAAGUAACUGUGCACAUCUUGACGGUACCUAAUCAGAAAGCCACGGCUAACUACGUGCCAGCAGCCGCGGUAAUACGUAGGUGGCAAGCGUUAUCCGGAAUUAUUGGGCGUAAAGCGCGCGUAGGCGGUUUUUUAAGUCUGAUGUGAAAGCCCACGGCUCAACCGUGGAGGGUCAUUGGAAACUGAAAAACUUGAGUGCAGAAGAGGAAAGUGGAAUUCCAUGUGUAGCGGUGAAAUGCGCAGAGAUAUGGAGGAACACCAGUGGCGAAGGCGACUUUCUGGUCUGUAACUGACGCUGAUGUGCGAAAGCGUGGGGAUCAAACAGGAUUAGAUACCCUGGUAGUCCACGCCGUAAACGAUGAGUGCUAAGUGUUAGGGGGUUUCCGCCCCUUAGUGCUGCAGCUAACGCAUUAAGCACUCCGCCUGGGGAGUACGACCGCAAGGUUGAAACUCAAAGGAAUUGACGGGGACCCGCACAAGCGGUGGAGCAUGUGGUUUAAUUCGAAGCAACGCGAAGAACCUUACCAAAUCUUGACAUCCUUUGACAACUCUAGAGAUAGAGCUUUCCCCUUCGGGGGACAAAGUGACAGGUGGUGCAUGGUUGUCGUCAGCUCGUGUCGUGAGAUGUUGGGUUAAGUCCCGCAACGAGCGCAACCCUUAAGCUUAGUUGCCAUCAUUAAGUUGGGCACUCUAAGUUGACUGCCGGUGACAAACCGGAGGAAGGUGGGGAUGACGUCAAAUCAUCAUGCCCCUUAUGAUUUGGGCUACACACGUGCUACAAUGGACAAUACAAAGGGCAGCGAAACCGUGAGGUCAAGCAAAUCCCAUAAAGUUGUUCUCAGUUCGGAUUGUAGUCUGCAACUCGACUACAUGAAGCUGGAAUCGCUAGUAAUCGUAGAUCAGCAUGCUACGGUGAAUACGUUCCCGGGUCU